UGGGGAAUAUUGCACAAUGGGCGCAAGCCUGAUGCAGCCAUGCCGCGUGUGUGAAGAAGGCCUUCGGGUUGUAAAGCACUUUCAGCGAGGAGGAAGGUGGUGAACUUAAUACGUUCAUCAAUUGACGUUACUCGCAGAAGAAGCACCGGCUAACUCCGUGCCAGCAGCCGCGGUAAUACGGAGGGUGCAAGCGUUAAUCGGAAUUACUGGGCGUAAAGCGCACGCAGGCGGUUUGUUAAGUCAGAUGUGAAAUCCCCGGGCUCAACCUGGGAACUGCAUUUGAAACUGGCAAGCUAGAGUCUCGUAGAGGGGGGUAGAAUUCCAGGUGUAGCGGUGAAAUGCGUAGAGAUCUGGAGGAAUACCGGUGGCGAAGGCGGCCCCCCUGGACGAAGACUGACGCUCAGGUGCGAAAGCGUGGGGCAGCAAACAGGAUUAGAUACCCUGGUAGUCCAGCGCUGUAAACGAUGUCGAUUUGGAGGUUGUGCCCUUGAGGCGUGGCUUCCGGAGCUAACGCGUUAAAUCGACCGCC
rnacentral:rRNA from 1 species